UAGGGAAUCUUCGGCAAUGGACGAAAGUCUGACCGAGCAACGCCGCGUGAGUGAAGAAGGUUUUCGGAUCGUAAAACUCUGUUGUUAGAGCAGAACAAGGACGUUAGUAACUGAACGUCCCCUGACGGUAUCUAACCAGAAAGCCACGGCUAACUACGUGCCAGCAGCCGCGGUAAUACGUAGGUGGCAAGCGUUGUCCGGAUUUAUUGGGCGUAAAGCGAGCGCAGGCGGUUUCUUAAGUCUGAUGUGAAAGCCCCCGGCUCAACCGGGGAGGGUCAUUGGAAACUGGGAGACUUGAGUGCAGAAGAGGAGAGUGGAAUUCCAUGUGUAGCGGUGAAAUGCGUAGAUAUAUGGAGGAACACCAGUGGCGAAGGCGGCUCUCUGGUCUGUAACUGACGCUGAGGCUCGAAAGCGUGGGGAGCAAACAGG
rnacentral:rRNA from 1 species